GACAGUUAUAGGUGUUUACAUGUAUCAUCUGGGGAUGUUACAGCUUUGCGUGCAUUUGGUGGUUUUACUCUGAGCUGUACCACAUAUUCAAAUACUGCAGAGCAAUAACUCCUUCAUCCCUCAAGGCACCCCCCAAAGUAAUCAUAUAAAUAAAAACCCUUGAAACACUGGGGCAAAAAUAACUCUUGACCAAUACCUUCUUGGAAUUUUAUUUGCCAUAUUAUAAUCUAGAGAAGAGGAGUUAAAGCUCACAGCUCUUGUAGCAAAUUUCCCUGUUGUUUUCAAAAUGUAUGGAUGCCUGGAUUCAGGCAAGUUAAGGUCAGUGGGCAAUAACAGCAAAUUUAGGUACAAACAAGAAAAACGAGACCCUGGUAAGAUGUUAGCCAAGCCAUAGCUUAUCAUAAAGCUAAACACAGGUCAGUGAAUUGAAGUAAAAAGCUGCACAUAAUUCUAUUGAUUUUUUGAUGCAUUGUUAAUUUUGUCCACACAGGCAGUGUUUGCUGGCUUGCAAUUAAGACCUAGCAGUAUAAAAAAGAACAAUAACAAGAAAUUGAAUCAGUCAUUUGUUGAAAAUAAGACAAAAGCAACAGUAAGGAGAGAAAGGAAGUAACUUGUGAAAGGUCUUCUUACUGCUUUAUUUUCAACAUUCAUUUAAGCAUUAAUAGUGCUUAAAAUACCAGUCACAAGUCAUGGCUCUGAACAAAAACAAUCAAUGUUUUCUGAUGAUUGAGAGAUUUAUUCUAAAGGCACCAUAGGAAAAGAAAGUCUUGGGGGUUCAGCAGGUUUGAAAUAUUGUACAAGAACUCAGAGUGAAAUUGAUCUAAAACAUGCAGUAAAUGGAUUUACAAGUCUUAUUGACUAUCCUCCUGAGUUGCUGCUUCCAAAAAGCUCUGAACUGCAAGUCUGUAAUAAAGGUUUUCCUUUCAGAUAUUCAGCCUGCACAAUCUGCUGGCUUUCAGCAUCAAUACAGGCUUUUAUUUUUACUAGAAGAAUGCAAGAGGCAGGUUUCUCAACAAAUCAAAGCAAGGAAGAAGAAAUGAAGCUGUGCUGGGAACAUUUUGCAGCAGCAAUCUCUUGUAAACUAAUGAGGGCCUCACUUGGCACCUCAAGGCAACAGGGCAGGAGGCUUGCUGCUGCAUACAGCUGUGCACCUAUUUAAUGCACCACGCUUGUCACACAAGCCCCUGACCUGGGUGCUAACUACCUCUGACCUGCAUGCAGCAGAUGAAUCCCCAGGGAGAUGGGCUUCUUGCUUGGAGCCCACCCUGCUGGCUCAUUGAGCAAAGAGGCAGACAGGACACGCCCACCACCAUCAUCUGGAAGGGAGAUCAUGAUCCUAAAGGGAUGCCCUGGCCCUCCAGGCUGCAGUACAACUUGUAUGUGUGUGGCUCUGAGUGUAUACAGGUGCCGUGAGAUAUGGGUGCCUGGCUUUUUUGGGUGAAGAAAUAUCACUGAAGAAGCAGGUCUCAACAGGCGUCAGGGACUGUCGGUGCCUCUGGGGCACUCCAGCUGAACAUCAGUCCAUGUCUGCAGAAGUAUCAUAGACCAAUACAUAUAAGUCUCUGCAGUGGUUUUGUUCCCAUGUGCCCACAUUGUCCAAAGCCCCUGUGGCAGGUGUUGUAGUGUGACACUGACAUGAGACCUUCCAGGGUAGAUGCC
ensembl:lncRNA